rnacentral:rRNA from 1 species
AACCGGCGAACGGGUGCGUAACACGUGAGCAACCUGCCUAUCUGCGGGGGAUAGCCGGCCCAACGGCCGGGUAAUACCGCAUACGUUCACGAGGGGACAUCCCCUUGUGAGGAAACCUCCGGGGCAGAUAGAGGGGCUCGCGGCCUAUCAGCUAGUUGGUGAGGUAACGGCUCACUAAGGCGACGACGGGUAGCUGGUCUGAGAGGAUGGCCAGCCACAUUGGGACUGCGACACGGCCCAGACUCCUACGGGAGGCAGCAGUGGG